rnacentral:rRNA from 1 species
GAGUAAUGCGUGACCAACCUGCCCCAUGCUCCAGAAUAGCUCUUGGAAACGGGUGGUAAUGCUGGAUGCUCCAACUUGACGCAUGUCUUGCUGGGAAAGUGUUUAGUGGCAUGGGAUGGGGUCGCGUCCUAUCAGCUUGUAGGCGGGGUAAUGGCCCACCUAGGCUUCGACGGGUAGCCGGCCUGAGAGGGCGGACGGCCACAUUGGGACUGAGAUACGGCCCAGACUCCUACGGGAGGCAGCAGCC